rnacentral:rRNA from 1 species
UUGGGAAUCUUGCACAAUGGGGGAAACCCUGAUGCAGCGACGCCGCGUGGAGGACGAAGGGUCUAGGCUCGUAAACUCCUUUUUUCGGGAAAGACUUAGGACGGUACCCGAAGAAUAAGCACCGGCUAACUACGUGCCAGCAGCCGCGGUAAGACGUAGGGUGCAAGCGUUGUCCGGAUUUACUGGGCGUAAAGAGCGCGUAGGCGGCUCGUUAAGUGAGAAGUGAAAGCUCUUGGCUCAACCAAGAAACCGCUUUUCAUACUGGCGAGCUAGAGUGAUGCAGAGGUGGAUAGAAUUCCCGGUGUAGCGGUGAAAUGCGUUGAUAUCGGGAGGAAUACCCGUGGCGAAGGCGGUCCACUGGGCAUCAACUGACGCUGAGGCGCGAAAGCGUGGGUAGCAAACAGGAUUAGAUACCCCCGUAGUCC